rnacentral:lncRNA from 1 species
UGAUGGAUGAAUUGCUCAUUGUAUUAUUGGUUACAGAAACGUCGUCCUUAUUCAAGUUAAAACUAAAAAGUCCUAUUCUGUGAAAACAAAGGAAACUAAUUGCCAAGAAUUGUUUAUGAAUGGCUUUUCUUCUUUUGUUACAUAAAGGAUCUGCACACCGAUAUUUCUAUAGGUCAAGUGUUCCUUGAUAGCCUACCUAAAAUAAAACUACAUGAGGAUUCAAGCAUGAAGAGA